UACGUAGGGGGCAAGCGUUGCCCGGAUUUACUGGGCGUAAAGAGCGUGUAGGCGGCCAGGCAGGUCUGUUGUGAAAACUGGAGGCUUAACCUCCAGAGGUCGACAGAAACCGUCUGGCUAGAGUCCGGAAGAGGAGAGUGGAAUUCCUGGUGUAGCGGUGAAAUGCGCAGAUAUCAGGAAGAACACCAAUGGCGAAGGCAGCUCUCUGGGACGGUACUGACGCUGAGACGCGAAAGCGUGGGGAGCGAACAGG
rnacentral:rRNA from 1 species